rnacentral:rRNA from 1 species
GACGAACGCUGGCGGCGUGCUUAAUACAUGCAAGUCGAGCGGAGCGGCGAACGGGUGAGUAACGCGUGAGUAACUGCCCCCCUCUCUGGGAUAACAGUUGGAAACGGCUGCUAAUACCGGAUAGUGGGGGAUGUUUCGCGUCCUAUCAGCUUGUUGGUGGAGUAGUGGCCUACCAAGGCGACGAAGGGUAGCCGGCCAGAGAGGGCGACCCGCUACAUGUGGCGGAGAUACGUACCAAACUCCUACGUGAGGCAGCAGUGGGGAAUAUUGCACAAUGGGGGAAACCCUGGUGCAGCAACGCCGGGUGCGGGAUGACGGCCUUCGGGUGGUAAACCGCUUUCAGCGAUAACGCGGUAGUGGCAGAAGAAGCACCGGCUAACUACGUGCCAGCAGCCGCGGUAAUUC